rnacentral:rRNA from 1 species
GACGAACGCUGGCGGCGUGCUUAACACAUGCAAGUCGAACGGUAAGGCCCUUCGGGGUACACGAGUGGCGAACGGGUGAGUAACACGUGGGUGAUCUGCCCUGCACUUCGGGAUAAGCCUGGGAAACUGGGUCUAAUACCGGAUAGGACCACUGCCUGCAUGGGUGGUGGUGGAAAGCUUUUGCGGUGUGGGAUGGGCCGGCGGCCUAUCAGCUUGUUGGUGGGGUGAUGGCCUACAAAGGCGACGACGGGUAGCCGGGCCGGGAGGGUGUCCGGCCACACUGGGACUUAGAUACGGCCGAGACGCCUACGGGAGGCAGCAGUGGGGAAUAUUGGACAAUGGGCGAAAGCCUGAUGCAGCGACGCCGCGUGAGGGAUGGCGGCCUUCGGGUUGUAAACCUCUUGCAGCACCGACGAAGCGCAAGUGACGGUAGGUGCAGAAGAAGGACCGGCCAACUACGUGCCAGCCGCCGCAGUAA